rnacentral:misc_RNA from 1 species
UAGUUAUUUAACAUUUACAUUAUCUUUCGUAUAUAUUUUGUAUAUUCGUAAAAUGUAUUUGAUUGCAGUUGUUCAUGAUUUUAUCUCGAAUGAUGAUCCAUGUCAAAGUCUUAUAACCUACGAGUUGUUAAAUUAUAACACUAUGUCAAAAGUUAAGGAACAUGACGAACAGGAAGUUUUAAAAUUGGACGAACACUUUAAACGAAUUUUAACAUAUGUUAGAUCGUACAUAUCGAAUUUGAGGUCCAUAGAAGAAGCACAUUUAUGCAGAAUCUGGCUUAAUAAAUUGCAUUCGAGUAUUACACAACGUAAUUUGAGGAACGAAUAUUUAUUAGAACUUUCUCGACAGUUAAAAACAGGCACGCUUGAAGGAAUAUUCAAAAUUGAACCACCAAAUGAUCUGUUACCGCCAUUGUCAUCAUCUUGUCAUGCGAUUUGCAGUAAUUCAUCUUUAAGUGAAUUGUCUGAUUAUGACAGAAAUCAUCAAAAUUGUUUAAUGUUAAAUCAAAGAUCGAAUGAUAGAAAUCACUUGCAAAAUAAAUUAAAAAUUCAUGAUUCUGAUUCGAGUUCAAAUGAGUAUGUGGUGCAUGAUAGUAUGAUAGAAGGAAACCAUUUACAACUUUGCAAAUAUUGUAUGUGUGUACUAACUGCCACGCUCAAUAAUCUUCGAAUUCAAAAUGAGCGAUUGAAGCAAGAAUUAAUGAAAUGUCAAGAGAAAAUGCUAGACAAUGAAGCAUUUCGAAAAUGCAUCAAACCACUGACAGUUCCAAUACAAACUCCAAAUCUUAUGUGGAAAGUUCGAAUGCUCAAGAAAACUAUCACAAAGCUGAGAAAGUUAAAUGAAACUAUAAAGCACGUUUAUGAAAAGAAAUUACAACAUAUUGUCAAAGUACUAGAAACAUAUAAACGCAUUUUCUCUAGAAAUUUUUAUUAAGAAUAAUUCAUUUGAUUCAAGUACAUCUUAAUUCUAUAAAAUAUUUAAUUAUUUUAAAUUCAUUUAAUUUUUCAAAAUAGAUCAAAUAUCUAUAUCAUGUUACAGAAUAAGAAUCUUGAGAUUAAGAUUUUGCAACUGCAAUUCCAAGAACAAAAGAGCGAAUUAUAUUUGUCUUUAUGUUCAGAAAAGCAGAACGAACUAUACAAUCGAGUGGAAUCUUUAGAGGAGAAAUAUAAAAUAAUUUUAACAACUGUUCUUGAAAAUCAGCGACAAAAAUAUCUUACGAAAAUAACUAAUCUUGAAGUUGAAUUAUACCAUUUAAGGAAUAAAUAAAGGAAUGAAUCCAAGCCGAAAUGCAUGUGAUGCAUAAAAUAUAUUCUACUUUACUGCAAUCCUACAUUACUAUUAUCAUUAUUAUUUAUCAAUAAAAAAUAUGUUAUUCUA